AACGAACGCUGGCGGCGGGCCUCAUACAUGCAAGUCGAGCGCGAAAGUCCGCAAGGAUGAGUAAAGCGGCGCACGGGUGAGUAACACGUGGAUAAUCUACCCUCUGGAUUGGAAUAACCUGUCGAAAGACGGGCCAAUGCCAAGUAAGCUCUCGGGAACGUGAUGUUCCUGCGAGGAAAGAUGGCGCAAGCUAUCGCCGAAGGAUGAGUCUGCGUCCCAUUAGCUAGUUGGUGGGGUAAAAGCUUACCAAGGCAAUGAUGGGUACCUGGUCUGAGAGGAUGACCAGGCACACUGGAACUGAAACACGGUCCAGACUCCUACGGGAGGCAGCAGUAGGGAAUAUUGCGCAAUGGACGAAAGUCUGACGCAGCCACGCCGCGUGAGUGAAGAAGGCCUUAGGGUUGUAAAGUUCUUUCGCCGAUGAAGAUAAUGACGGUAGUCGGAGAAGAAGCCCCGGCUAACUUCGUGCCAGCAGCCGCGGUAAU
rnacentral:rRNA from 1 species